ACAAAAAGGAAAGGGCACACGGCGGAUGCCUUGGCACUGAAUGGCGAAGAAGGACGCGGUUAACUGCGAAAAUCCUCGGAGAGCCGUAAGCAGGCUUAGACCCGGGGGUAUCCGAAUGGGGCAACCCGAUAAGAUUUAUAUUUUAUCAUCCGAUUAGUCGGAGGCAAACGCAGGGAACUGAAACAUCUAAGUACCUGCAGGAAGAGAAAGCAACAGCGAUUCCCUCAGUAGCGGCGAGCGAAAGGGGAACAGCCUAAACCGCAAUGCUUGCGUUGCGGGGUUGAGGGAUCGAUAUCAUCGAUUGAGAGAGAAUAGCAGAACAUUUUUGGGAAGAAAGACCGUAGAGGGUGACAGUCCCGUAUGCGAAAUUUUUGAUUAAUCGUAAUCGACACCCGAGUAGGUCGGGACACGUGAAAUCCUGAUUGAAUCAGCGAGGACCAUCUCGUAAGGCUAAAUACAUUCAGUGACCGAUAGUGAAUCAGUACCGUGAGGGAAAGGUGAAAAGUACCCCGUCGAGGGGAGUGAAAGAGUACCUGAAACCGUGUGCUUACAAGCGGUCGGAGCAGUAUAAUAACUGUGACGGCGUGCCUUUUGCAUAAUGAGCCGGCGAGUUAAUCUUAUCAGCGAGGUUAAGCGAUACAGUUGCGGAGCCUGAGCGAAAGCGAGUCCGAAGAGGGCGUUUAGUUGAUUGGAUUAGACCCGAAGCCCGGUGAUCUACCCAUGUCCAGGUUGAAGUCACGGUAACACGUGAUGGAGGACCGAACCAACCGACGUUGAAAAGUCGGUGGAUGAGGUGUGGGUAGGGGUGAAAGGCCAAUCAAACCGGGAGAUAGCUGGUUCUCUCCGAAAGCUGUUUAGGCAGUGCCUCGCAAGAGAAUAUUGGAGGUAGAGCACUGAAUGGGGUAGGGGGCUUACCGGCCUACCGAACCCAAUCAAACUCCGAAUGCCAAUAUUUGAUUUGCGGGAGUCAGGGUACGUGGGAUAAGCUUCGUAUCCGAGAGGGGAACAACCCGGACCGUCAGCUAAGGUCCCAAAGUAUAUGCUUAGUGAGAAAGGAUGUGUGAUUGCACAGACAGCCAGGAUGUUGGCUUAGAAGCAGCCAUCAUUUAAAGAGUGCGUAACAGCUCACUGGUCGAGUGGUAAUGCACCGAAGAUGAUCGGGACUUAAGUAUAUCACCGAAGCUGCGGAUCAGAUAUAAUCUGAUGGUAGGAGAGCAUUCCGUAUGCAGAGAAGUCGAGCUGUAAGGCGAGAUGGAGCGUACGGAAGAGAUUAUGCCGGCAUGAGUAGCGAUAAUGCGUGAUGGAAACGCGCACACCGCAAGCCUGAGGUUUCCUGAGUAAAGAUAAGCUUCUCAGGGUUAGUCGGUCCCUAAGGCGAGUCCGAAAGGAGCAGCUGAUGGGAAUCAGGUUAAUAUUCCUGAACCUGUAAUAUGAAGUGACGGAGUGACGCAUUGUUGCCCCGAAGACAACUGUUGGAUUAGUUGUUGAACAUAUGUAGGACGAGAUACAGGCAAAUCCGUAUUUCAUAAGUCCGAGGUAUGGGACGAGAUCUUCGGAUCAAAAGUUCGGUUACAGUGAUGCCUAGAAAUAACUUCUAAGCGUUAAUCGUAUUACAGACCGUACCGCAAACCGACACAGGUAGGCGAGGAGAGUAUCCUCAGGUGUUCGAGAGAAUUCCGGUUAAGGAACUCGGCAAAAUAGCCCCGUAACUUCGGGAGAAGGGGCGCCCUUUUUUGUGAUUAGACAUGCUUUAUGAGCAUAAAGGGGCCGCAGUGAAAAGGCCCAAGCGACUGUUUAUCAAAAACACAGGUCUAUGCGAAGUCGCAAGACACAGUAUAUAGACUGACACCUGCCCGGUGCCGGAAGGUUAAGAGGAGGGGUUAGCUUAUGCGAAGCUCUGAAUUGAAGCCCCGGUAAACGGCGGCCGUAACUAUAACGGUCCUAAGGUAGCGAAAUUCCUUGUCGGGUAAGUUCCGACCUGCACGAAUGAAGAUGCCGCCUACCCGCGAACGGACGGAAAGACCCCGUGAACCUUUACUGCAGCUUGACAUUGUAAUUUGGUAUGGUAUGUGUAGGAUAGGUGGGAGGCUUUGAAGCAUGGACGCCAGUUUGUGCCGAGCCGUUGUUGAAAUACCACCCUUAUUGUAUCGGGUUACUAACGCUUUUAGUGGAUAGAAGCGGACAUUGUCCGGCGGGCAGUUUGACUGGGGCGGUCGCCUCCUAAAAUGUAACGGAGGCUCACCAAGGUUCCCUCCGGCUGGUUGGUAAUCAGCCAUAGAGCGUAAAGGUAUAAGGGAGCUUGACUGCGAGACCGACGGGUCGAGCAGGUGGGAAACCAGGUCUUAGUGAUCCGGCGGCGCUGUAUGGAAGGGCCGUUGCUCAAAGGAUAAAAGGUACUCCGGGGAUAACAGGCUGAUACCGCCCAAGAGUUCACAUCGACGGCGGUGUUUGGCACCUCGAUGUCGGCUCAACUCAUCCUGGGGCUGCAGAAGGUCCCAAGGGUUCGGCUGUUCGCCGAUUAAAGAGUUACGCGAGCUGGGUUCAGAACGUCGUGAGACAGUUCGGUCCCUAUCCUUCGCGGGCGCAGGAAAUUUGAGAGGCUCUGCAUUUAGUACGAGAGGACCGGUGUGGACGAACCUCUGGUGUAUCGGUUGUGGCGCCAGCUGCAUUGCCGAGUAGCUAAGUUCGGCAUGGAUAACCGCUGAAAGCAUCUAAGCGGGAAGCCAUCCUCAAGAGAGAUUUCCCAAUCAGAAACGUUGGAGACUACGACGUUGAUAGGUCACAGAUGUACUCACAGCAAUGUGUUCAGUCGAGUGAUACUAAAUUUCGAAAGUUUUUGUUUU
rnacentral:rRNA from 1 species